AGAGUUUGAUCCUGGCUCAGGACGAACGCUGGCGGUGUGCUUAAUACAUGCAAGUCGAACGAUGAGGCCCUUCGGGGUACAUCAGUGGCGGACGGCUGAGUAACGCGUAGAUAACGUGCCCUGGACUGGGGGAUAACACCGGGAAGCCGGUGCUAAUACCGCAUAAGUUGCUGGUUGAAAUACUGGUAAUUAAAGAAUUUCGGUUCAGGAUCGGUCUGCGUCUGAUUAGCUAGUUGGUAGGGUAAAGGCCUACCAAGGCAAUGAUCAGUAGUUGGUCUGAGAGGAUGACCAGCCAGAGUGGGACUGAGACACGGCCCACACUUCUACGGAAGGCAGCAGUAGGGAAUUUUGCGCAAUGGGCGAAAGCCUGACGCAGCAACACCGCGUGCGGGAUGACGGUCUUCGGAUUGUAAACCGCUGUCAGCAGGGAAUAUAAUGACUGUACCUGCAAAGGAAGCAUCGGCUAACUACGUGCCAGCAGCCGCGGUAAUACGUAGGAUGCAAGCGUUGUCCGGAAUUA
rnacentral:rRNA from 1 species